UAGGGAAUCUUCCACAAUGGACGCAAGUCUGAUGGAGCAACGCCGCGUGAGUGAAGAAGGCUUUCGGGUCGUAAAACUCUGUUAUUGAAGAAGAACGUGUGUGACAGUAACUGGUCAUGCAGUGACGGUAUUCAAUCAGAAAGUCACGGCUAACUACGUGCCAGCAGCCGCGGUAAUACGUAGGUGGCAAGCGUUGUCCGGAUUUAUUGGGCGUAAAGCGAGUGCAGGCGGUCUUUUAAGUCUGAUGUGAAAGCCUUCGGCUUAACCGAAGAAGGGCAUCGGAAACUGGGAGACUUGAGUGCAGAAGAGGAGAGUGGAACUCCAUGUGUAGCGGUGAAAUGCGUAGAUAUAUGGAAGAACACCAGUGGCGAAGGCGGCUCUCUGGUCUGUAACUGACGCUGAGGCUCGAAAGCGUGGGUAGCAAACAGGAUUAGAUACCCUGGU
rnacentral:rRNA from 1 species